AUACGGAGGGGGUUAGCGUUGUUCGGAAUUACUGGGCGUAAAGCGCACGUAGGCGGACUGGAAAGUUGGGGGUGAAAUCCCGGGGCUCAACCCCGGAACUGCCUCCAAAACUUCCAAUCUAGAGAUCGAGAGAGGUGAGUGGAAUUCCAAGUGUAGAGGUGAAAUUCGUAGAUAUUUGGAGGAACACCAGUGGCGAAGGCGGCUCACUGGCUCGAUACUGACGCUGAGGUGCGAAAGCGUAGGGAGCAAACAGGAUUAGAAACCCUAGUAGUCC
rnacentral:rRNA from 1 species